rnacentral:rRNA from 1 species
UACAGAGGUCUCAAGCGUUGUUCGGAUUCAUUGGGCGUAAAGGGUGCGUAGGCGGCUCGGUAAGUCGGGUGUGAAAUCUCGGAGCUUAACUCCGAAACUGCAUUCGAUACUGCCGUGCUUGAGGACUGGAGAGGAGACUGGAAUUUACGGUGUAGCGGUGAAAUGCGUAGAUAUCGUAAGGAAGACCAGUGGCGAAGGCGGGUCUCUGGACAGUUCCUGACGCUGAGGCGCGAAGGUCAGGGGAGCAAACGGG